rnacentral:rRNA from 1 species
UGGGGAAUUUUGGACAAUGGGCGAAAGCCUGAUCCAGCAAUGCCGCGUGUGUGAAGAAGGCCUUCGGGUUGUAAAGCACUUUUGUCCGGAAAGAAAUCCUUGGCUCUAAUACAGUCGGGGGAUGACGGUACCGGAAGAAUAAGCACCGGCUAACUACGUGCCAGCAGCCGCGGUAAUACGUAGGGUGCAAGCGUUAAUCGGAAUUACUGGGCGUAAAGCGUGCGCAGGCGGUUUGCUAAGACCGAUGUGAAAUCCCCGGGCUCAACCUGGGAACUGCAUUGGUGACUGGCAGGCUAGAGUAUGGCAGAGGGGGGUAGAAUUCCACGUGUAGCAGUGAAAUGCGUAGAGAUGUGGAGGAAUACCGAUGGCGAAGGCAGCCCCCUGGGCCAAAUACUGACGCUCAUGCACGAAAGCGUGGGGGAGCAAACAGGAUUAGAUACCCUGGUAGUCCACGCCCUAAAACGAUGUCAACUAGUUGUUGGGGAUUCAUUUCCUUAGUAACGUAGCUAACGCGCGAAGUUGACCGCCUGGGGAGUACGGUCGCAAGAUUAAAACUCAAAUGAAUUGACGGGGUCAUAGCUGUUUCCU